UGACCCAAGUGGAAGUCAGACGCUCAUCUGACUGGGCCACCCAGGUGCCCAUGUUUUCAUUUUACAGAUAAGGAAGCCAAGGCUAAAUAACUUGCUUGAAAUCACACCAUUGGAAGGUAGAGGGUCAAGAUUUAGACAGUCUGGCUCCUCUUGCUAAGUUGCUGGCAAAAAAACAAAUCAAGUGAAUUUGAAGUUGAGUUCUUCCUCUGAUAGAGAAGGGGCUGCAUGAGGUGGGGUUCACCUGAGGGGAAAGAUGGAAACCUGGCAGUGUGGCUGUGGGGAAAGCAAGUGGGAGCUGACUGUGGAUAGGUAGUGGCUUUGCCCUGUGGUCCAGGUGAGGACAGAGGACUCAUAUGGGUGUCAUUCUACAAGCAGUAGGCUCUUGUUAGGAGCCUACUGCUUCAGGAGCCUACAUGCAGCAGCCAGUCAGGGCAGGAGCCAGCUGAGGUCUGGGUUGUGGCACAUUGGGGGUUGCCAGUAGGUUGUCUGGGGUCAAAGCAGCAUCUUCAAGGCAGUUGGAGACUGGAUCAGAAUUCCCUGAGGUAAAAGGUUCUGGUUUUGGUGCUUACUAACCUUGUGAUGUGGACACAUUGCAUAACUAAUCUGGGCCUUGAUUUUCUUAUGUACAACAUGAAGGGAGUAAGGCCUAUACUGCUGUGUUUUGGUGACAGCAAGAGAAAAAUUUAUCUGAAGGUGCUGUCAGGUGAUGGGAACUCAACAGAUUGGCCCUGUUUUCCCUUCUCAUAACUUUUUGUUCAUGAGGAUCCAUGAGAGCCAGAUCGGUCCAGGAUAUUCAAGCCAUGCCUUGAGAAGUUGCACUUCUUCCUGUCCUACUGUAUGCCUGUGCUUCUCUCUUUCUGGCCCCAGCAAGUGUUCUUGGUUUCUACCAGGUAACACCUAGUAUAGACUUCUUCCUGCCUACCAUGUGCUCUGGACCAAUUUUGAUGUUGUACUGAGGUGUGUAUGUGGGUGUGUGUCAGGAGGAGUGCACGCCAUGUGCCCAUUUUAUGUGGGAGGAGUGGGCACAUUCCCAUAUGUGACAUGCAUAUGUAUGCAUUUGUAUAUAUGUAUGUGUCACUCAAAUUGCAACCUCCCAUUCCUUGCAGUUGAGACAAGUUUCUUUCAUGAUGCUAUUUGUAACUAAAAAUAAAAAGGCAACUAAAAAUAAAAAGAGCAAUGCCCGUCAAGUUUCUGGAGAAUAGGGAUCAUGGUGUAUAACAAACCCACAGACCAAACAGAUGGCAAAGAACUUAAAAGACAGGUUAUAUCUGAUAAGACCAAUUUUUGCGGGGCUAAAGGCAAAACAAAGCAAAAUCUUUUUUCUUUUUUUUCCCCUUAAGAUUCACAUAACAAAUUGUGCAAGUCCAUGGUAGAAGGAAAAGUGUCUUCUUUUGGGGUGAAAAGCCCUAGAAGUUUGGUUGACUGAAAAUUCAUUACGGAUGAAAGACUGCCUUUGGCCCCUCCUUUCCUCUUGAGCCCCUCCAUCCAAGCCAAUAUAGUGAUGCUGAGGUCAUGGGAUUCCUGACAUGAUGGUUUCCUUCCUAAAUCAUCUUCCCGUGACAAACCAUGAGUCCACAGGUCCAAAGUAAUGAAAAGGUUUUCUCUAAUGAAAGAUUUCCAGAUCCUGUGGAGGUCAUGAAGUCUCCAAAACAACAGUGUGAUCUUUGACUGCAUUACUAAAGUCUCUGAAAUCUGAGGAGAAAGGACCAUCUGAGGGCUCCUUGAUGGACGCAUAUUGGCGACCUUUGGAGACCAGUCCUCCUGCAGUUAUGACCCACCUGGGAGGCCCACUUCCUGCCUGGGCAAAGGUGUUCAGCCCACCUGCUUCAGCCUUUCUCUGCCUGAUGAGCACCGAUGCUGGCAAAGUGGGCAACAAGGGUUUACAAAGAGCAACCCCCUCAGGGACCCCACUCAGGGAAGCAGGCAGCUCUGGAGGAACUACAGGUGAAGGCGAGCAUGGCAAUUCUGAAUCCUCUGACGCAGGGGCAUACAAUAUGACCCAUUUGGAUGCAGGAAGAAUAUUCUUGAAUUUUCUAUUUGUUUUGUCUCAUCUGUUUUAUGAUUAUCUUACCCUGUUUCAUAAUGUAUCCACAAUGUUACUGCAUUGGAACAUGUAUAUAAUUUGUAAGUGAUAGGCAUACAUAUAUUGGGGAUUUGUACUGAAAUAUUUUUUUCCUGGAAGAACUGAAAAUCAAACAGAUUUAAAGACUAAUGGCCUAGAGCAGUAAUUUUCCUGUGGAUUUUCUGACCAGCAGCAUCAGCAUCACCUGGCAACUAGUUAGAAAGGCAAAUUUCCAGGCUCUACCACAGACUUCCUGGAUCAGAUGCUCCCAGACUGGGGCCCAGCAACGUGUGUUUUCACAAAUCACCUGAGUGAGUCUGAUUGGUCUAGGCAAUCCAACUGUUAAGGUGGAAUAUGAAAUAAGAAAGAUAAUUUUAGUUGGAAUUAAAAAAAAAUGAAAUACUAGAAACAUGGAAAUUCUUAAAAAAAUCAUUAAAAUCAUCAUGGCAAGAAUCGAGCAGAGUCUGGGUCAAGUAAGAACAGUGGGAUUUCAGAAAUAUUUAAAGAGCAAAUUAAGUAUAACUGAAUUGGGGAGUGAGGGAGAGGGAGUUAAAUCCAGGUAUGGUGCCCCCAGUUCUAAUACACAGUGUUAGUUAAAACCAGGCAUGGCGCCCUGACUUCUCUAAUACACAGCAUUGCUGUCUCCAUAUGUGUCUCAGUCUCUGUGAGUCAGAGCGUAUGAUGGCAAGAACUAAUAAUGAAUGAUCCCGUUUUAAUAAGUGCCUGAAGGGGGGCGCCUGGGUGGCGCAGUCGGUUAAGCGUCCGACUUCAGCCAGGUCACGAUCUCGCGGUCCGGUCCGUGA